GAGAGGAGCUUGCUCCUCGAUUCAGCGGCGGACGGGUGAGUAAUGCCUAGGAAUCUGCCUAGUAGUGGGGGACAACGUUUCGAAAGGAACGCUAAUACCGCAUACGUCCUACGGGAGAAAGUGGGGGAUCUUCGGACCUCACGCUAUUAGAUGAGCCUAGGUCGGAUUAGCUAGUUGGUAGGGUAAAGGCCUACCAAGGCGACGAUCCGUAACUGGUCUGAGAGGAUGAUCAGUCACACUGGAACUGAGACACGGUCCAGACUCCUACGGGAGGCAGCAGUGGGGAAUAUUGGACAAUGGGCGAAAGCCUGAUCCAGCCAUGCCGCGUGUGUGAAGAAGGCCCUCGGGUCGUAAAGCACUUUAAGUUGGGAGGAAGGGCUUACAGCGAAUACCUGUGAGUUUUGACGUUACCGACAGAAUAAGCACCGGCUAACUUCGUGCCAGCAGCCGCGGUAAUACGAAGGGUGCAAGCGUUAAUCGGAAUUACUGGGCGUAAAGCGCGCGUAGGUGGCUUGAUAAGUUGGAUGUGAAAUCCCCGGGCUCAACCUGGGAACUGCAUCCAAAACUGUCUGGCUAGAGUGCGGU
rnacentral:rRNA from 1 species